GUGUCAGCCGCCGCGGUAAUACGUACGAGGCGAGCGUUAUCCGGAAUUACUGGGCGUAAAGCGCGCGCAGGUGGCUUCUUAAGUCGGACGUGAAAUCUCCCGGCCUAACUGGGAGGGGUCGUUCGAGACUGGGGAGCUUGAGGACUGCAGAGGUGGGUGGAAUUCCUGGUGUAGUGGUGAAAUGCGUAGAGAUCAGGAGGAACACCGGUGGCGAAGGCGGCCCACUGGGCAGUCACUGACGCUGAGGCGCGAAAGCUCGGGGAGCGAACGGGAUUAGAUACCCCGGUAGUCCGAGCCGUAAACGAUGGGUACUAGGUGCUCGUGGUAUCGACCCCACGGGUGCCGGAGCUAACGCGAUAAGUACCCCGCCUGGGGAGUACGGCCGCAAGGUUAAA
rnacentral:rRNA from 1 species